AACGAACGCUGGCGGCAGGCUUAACACAUGCAAGUCGAGCGCCCCGCAAGGGGAGCGGCAGACGGGUGAGUAACGCGUGGGAAUCUACCCAUCUCUACGGAAUAACGCAUGGAAACGUGUGCUAAUACCGUAUACGUCCUUCGGGAGAAAGAUUUAUCGGAGAUGGAUGAGCCCGCGUUGGAUUAGCUAGUUGGUGGGGUAAAGGCCUACCAAGGCGACGAUCCAUAGCUGGUAUGAGAGGAUGAUCAGCCACACUGGGACUGAGACACGGCCAAGACUCCUACGGCAGGCAGCAGUGGGGAAUAUUGGACAAUGGGCGCAAGCCUGAGCCAGCCAUGCCGCGUGAGUGAUUAAGGCCCUAGGGUUGUAAAGCUCUUUCACCGGUGAAGAUAAUGACGGUAACCGGAGAAGAAGCCCAGGCUAACUUCGUGCCAGCCGCCGCGGUAAUAC
rnacentral:rRNA from 1 species